rnacentral:tRNA from 1 species
GGGCUAGUGGCGAAGUGGUCUAACGCUUCGGUCUGCAAAACCGACAUUCCCCGGUUCAAAUCCGGGCUAGCCCU